rnacentral:rRNA from 1 species
AUUGAACGCUGGCGGCAGGCCUAACACAUGCAAGUCGAGCGGAUGCACGGAGCUUGCUCCUGGAUUCAGCGGCGGACGGGUGAGUAAUUCCUAGGAAUCUGCCUGGUUGUGGGGGAUAACGUCCGGAAACGUGCGCUAAUACCGCAUACGUCCUGCGGGAGAAAGUGGGGGAUCUUCGGACCUCACGCUAUCAGAUGAGCCUACGUCGGAUUAGCUAGUUGGUGGGGUAAAGGCCUACCAAGGCGACGAUCCGUAGCUGGUCUGAGAGGAUGAUCAGUCACACUGGAACUGAGACACGGUCCAGACUCCUACGGGAGGCAGCAGUGGGGAAUAUUGGACAAUGGGCGAAAGCCUGAUCCAGCCAUGCCGCGUGUGUGAAGAAGGUCUUCGGAUUGUAAAGCACUUUAAGUUGGGAGGAAGGGCAGUAAGUUAAUACCUUGCUGGUUUGACGUUACCGACAGAAUAAGCACCGGCUAACUUCGUG